AUACGGGGGGGGCAAGCGUUGUUCGGAAUUAUUGGGCGUAAAGGGCGUGUAGGCGGCCCUGCAAGUCUUUCGUGAAAUCCCACAGCUCAACUGUGGAACUGCGAGGGAAACUGCAGGACUUGAGUCCGGCAGAGGAGAGUGGAAUUCCCAGUGUAGCGGUGAAAUGCGUAGAUAUUGGGAGGAACACCGGUGGCGAAGGCGGCUCUCUGGACCGGUACUGACGCUGAAGCGCGAAAGCUAGGGGAGCAAACGGGAUUAGAUACCCCAGUAGUCC
rnacentral:rRNA from 1 species